rnacentral:lncRNA from 1 species
AUUUUUGUAAAUCAAGCUAUGAGUGUUCCUCAGGGAUGUAACUCCUCUAGCUUCAGGGAAUACGUAAGUAAAUGUUGCAGCUGAAACGAUAGAAUUUUGUGGGUCCUCUUCUGCAGUUAGGCUGCUGUGUUCUUGGCAACAACAUUCUCAGGUCACUUUUCAGGCAGACUGAAUCCCCAUUCUCGUUCCUGGAGCAGCCACCUGAACACUAGAGUUGGCAUGGAGAAGGACACCAGCCUUCCUCGUUUCAGUGUCAGCGCAGAUUGUUGUUGAAUUGACAAGACUGCACAAGUGGACUCUAACUUUUCCUGCCAGCGAGGAUUUGGGAAGACAACAACGGACCAAGGAAGGACCUCUUCUUUCAAGAAAAGAGUCAGGUGAAGGACUGCUACGUCUGACUGCAGCCACCAGUGAUAGAUAGAGAUCUGUCUGAAGAAGGUGAAGAAGAUCACUGGGUGAUUCCACAGUCCUUUCUAGUCAAUAAAGAAAUCAGAAGUGAUCAACAUGGAUUCACCAAGGGAAAAUCAUACUUGACCAAUCUGAUAGCCUUCUACGAUAUAAUGACUGGCUGGGUAGAUGAGGGGAGAGCAGUGGACGGUGUCUACCUCGACUUUAGCAAGGCUUUUGACACUGUCUCCCAUAACAUUCUCACAGGUAAGUGUAGGAAGUGUGGGUUAGAUGGGUGGACAGUGAGGUGAAUUGAGAACUGGCUGAGUGGCAGAGCUCAGAGGGUUGUGAUCAGAGGCACAGCGUCCAGCUGAAGGCCUAUAAUUCAUGGUGUUCCCCAGGGGUCAGCACUGGGUUCAGUCUUAUUCAGCAUAUUAGUCAAUGACCUGGACAAGGGGACAGAGUAUACCCUCAGCGAGUUUGCUGAUGACACCAAACUGGGAGGGUGGCUGAGAAAC